rnacentral:lncRNA from 1 species
CAUCCUUGGUGCCCUAUCAAGUUUAUGACCGUUCUGGAACCUUACCAUAGCGCGUAACAGCUUGUAUCGCCAGAUCACCAUGAGGGACCCGCACUCCUUGCCAGUCUCCGAGCUUUCAGUGGCCUUUGUUCAGAGCACAGGCUCCUGUCUCUUUUACACUCAGUUAAAAUAAGAAGGGAUGAUAUCUGCAAAGACAUGAAUUCCCAACUAUGCACACUUGCGCCCUGAAAGAUGACAGAUGUGCACACCUGUGUGUACAAACCAGUACGGAGUUUGAGUCCCUGGUUGAAGAAAGACUUCCGAAAGGUCAUCUCUUUCCCCUAUGCAAACAAUCUCACCUUGUUAGGCCACCUUGGGGGAAAAAAUCACCAGAAUUCUUGUUCUUCCACAGGUCAGGUGAACCUCCAUGGCUAUUGUCCUUCCACAUGUGACUCAGAGACACAGGGUCUUAUGGCUCUGACAUUCAACCCAUGGCCCCCACACUUGCUGCCAACAGGGAAGCAAAGGAUGUGA